UCGAACCAUCUAGUAGCUGG
rnacentral:misc_RNA from 1 species